rnacentral:rRNA from 1 species
GACGAACGCUGGCGGCGUGCUUAACACAUGCAAGUCGAACGGAGCGGCGAACGGGCGAGUAACGCGUUAGUAACUGCCCCCCUCUCUGUGAUAACAGUUGGAAACGGCUGCUAAUACCGGAUAGUGUGGGAUGACUCGUGUCAUAUCGGCUUGUUGGUGGGGUAGUGGCCUACCAAGGCGACGACGGGUAGCCGACCUGGGAGCGGGACCGGCCACAUUGGGCUGAGAGACGGCCCAAACGCGUAUGGGAGGCAGCAGUGGGAAAUAUUGCACAACGGUGGAAACUCUGAUGAAGAAGCGCGGGUGCGUAAUGUCGGGCUUCGGGUUGGAAACCGCUUUCAGCCAUGACGCGGUAGUGGCAGAAGAAGCACCGGCUAACUACGUGCCAGCAGCCGCGGUAAUUC